UGGCUCAGUUGGUAAAGCAAUGGUGUUUGCAACGCCAGGGUUGUGGGUUCGAUUCCCAC
rnacentral:tRNA from 1 species